rnacentral:tRNA from 1 species
GCAAUAAUAGCUUAAGUAAAAAGCCUUGGUCUUGUAAGUCAAAGAUGAAUUUAAAUAUUCUUAUUGCU